UUUCUUCCUCUUCUCCUCUCCCGACUCCUCCUUCCCCCUUUCUUCUCAUUUCUUCUCCCGUGGAGGGAGGAGGGCGAGCUCGAGCGGCUUGGGAGGAGUGGGUAGCGGCCGACGGCGCCCAGCGGCCGGCCUGCGGUGCCCACGGUCGCGCCCGCGGCCGUGCCCGCGGUCGUGCCCGUGGCCAUGCCCAAGGCCGCUUCGGCGGCCCACGGCCGCAUCUACGUCUCGCUGCCGGCGACCCGCAUCCCAUGGCCGACGACCCGCGGCCCGUGGCCGAGGCCGGCGCCCGCGGUUGCGGCUGCGGAUCAACCACCGGGGAUCGUUCGUCUUCUACUCCGACGAUGCAGCCCUGUGCUCCGACGGCGUGGGUCUAACACCGGAUCCUGCCAACCGUGAAGGUUUGUGAGAGAGAGACAGUGGAGAAGAGGGAAGAGGAUGAUGAAAUUCUCCACCGAUCGAGGCUUCUUGAAGCCUCCGAUUGCUGGGAAAGGCGGGCGGUUGUAACCGCCCACCAUCGUAACGCCUGCACGACGGUGUAAUGUCCCCCCCCCCCCCCUCCGUUUCUCUUGGGAGUGGGGCGGUUAUCACAAGAACUUUGUGAUGAAUGUAAAAAUCUUUCAAAUAAAGGAUUGUUUUACUUUGUUAACAA